AGCGAACGCUGGCGGCAGGCCUAACACAUGCAAGUCGAACGAACUCUUCGGAGUUAGUGGCGGACGGGUGAGUAACGCGUGGGAACGUGCCUUUAGGUUCGGAAUAACUCAGGGAAACUUGUGCUAAUACCGAAUGUGCCCUUCGGGGGAAAGAUUUAUCGCCUUUAGAGCGGCCCGCGUCUGAUUAGCUAGUUGGUGAGGUAACGGCUCACCAAGGCGACGAUCAGUAGCUGGUCUGAGAGGAUGGCCAGCCACACUGGGACUGAGACACGGCCCAGACUCCUACGGGAGGCAGCAGUGGGGAAUCUAGCGCAAUGGGCGAAAGCCUGACGCAGCCAUGCCGCGUGAAUGAUGAAGGUCUUAGGAUUGUAAAAUUCUUUCACCGGGGACGAUAAUGACGGUACCCGGAGAAGAAGCCCCGGCUAACUUCGUGCCAGCCGCCGCAGUAA
rnacentral:rRNA from 1 species